rnacentral:lncRNA from 1 species
AAAAUUUGUUUCUGAUAAAUUGUAUUCAAACAAAAGUACAAUUAGUGCUUUUUAGAGAAUCCAGUUCCGGCGGAAGAUUAAGUAAGGUGCGGUAUAAAGACCAAUCAAUUUCCUACAACAGACAAUAGAGGGCUCUGACGUGACCACGGUCAAUGAGACUAUUGUUCUGAUUCUAUAGAGUCUAACCUUGAAAAGAAAAGACUCGUUGUUUUUAAGCCUGGUCCAGGUGUGGGAGCUAUACUUGAUAUACAAGUCGACUCGUGAACUACGGAGUACUCCAAAUGUUUUACCAAACAGAAGAACAAUGGGCAAACACCAAUCCUGAGAAGUGGUAAAAUCUACAAAACAUUGAAAGGUAUAAAAUGUUUGGUAAGUCAGAAUACAUUAGCAUAAAUAUUGGAGCUCACAGAGUCAUUUGCUGACUCUUGCAUAUACAUAAUUCCUCCUUAUCAUUAACAAAGUAGAAAUAAAUAUGAUAUAUACUAUGAAAACACAAAUAAGUCAAACAAAAAAAAAGAGAUGAACUUUGUAAUGAAUGGACACAGAAAACUGAUCUGUUGCUGUUGCUCAGACAGACGAAACAUGUUGCCUCAGCUGUGUCGAAAAAAAAGAAACAAGAUGAUGUGGGAACAAAGGUUCUUGAAUUAUGUUGGCAAGUCAGAAUAUCAAUAAGCCUCAGAAGUUUUAGCUCAUUGGGGAAAAAACCCUGGCACAUCUAAUAGACUCAUCAUUCUUGCCAUAAAUUGAAUUACCAAAGUGUAUUAGCAGAUCACCUACACACAAAAAAUACACCAGGAAGAAAGAAAGAGUGGAAACAAAUACAUUAUGGAUGCACAAUAUCAAAAGAGAAAGCUCAGAAUAUCAAUAAGCAGUUAGUGUAAACAUUCAACAGGGAGUUCUCCCUUCACACAACAGAUAUUCAUCAUUCCCAUACCUACCUAAAAUUAACUAUAAAUGCCAAAAGAAGCCAAAUUAUAUAUUUAAUAAUAAUUUACAUCAAAAUCUUCUGUUAGUAAUGUUAAUAAUGAACUUUUAUAGUCAUAGUUAGGUCCAACAAAAAUUAAGGGAUCAAUGAACACCAUGUAAAUCAAAAAAUAAAAGAGUGAAUCACAAAUGCAAGUCAGAAUAUCAAUAAGCCUCGAUGAUUGAGCUCAUAGAGGAAUUCACCACUCGCACAUCUAAUUGUUUUUCAUCAUGCUUGCCAUAGCAAAGGCUAAAUAUAGCACAAAUUCCACCUCAACUAGAAAAAAGUAGAAUCAACAACGGAUGUGACACCACAAAAAGUAUGGGCUAUAUCCUGACGUGUAACUUCAGUUAAGGUCUAAAUCAGAUAAAUAUUUCAACUUAACAAUUUGCUACAACUUCAAGUGAAAAAUUAGUACAAAUGCAAUAAUGAAGCAUAUUUGUAGAACACAAAAUUAAAAAGUUCCAUUUAUUUCUAUUGUAAGUACUUUAAGAAGGCAAGUCAGAAUAUCAAUAAGCCUCGAUGAUUGAGCUCAUAGAGGAAUACACCACUCACACAUCUAAUAGUUUAUCAUCAUUCUUGCCAUAGCAAAGUUAUGUUAUGAAUAUAAAUAGAAAUAUACUGCAAACCACAUCUAAAUUAGGGAGAUUCAAAGCAUCUUUUGUUGGAACAAAAAGAUAGCAACUUUCAUUUUCAACAGUGACAAAUUAUUCAAACACACAAAUGCUUAAUUUUCAAAGCUGAAAUUUUGUCUUAGAACAAAUAGAAAGUACUACAUAAGACAAGUCAGAAUAUCAAUAAGCCUCGAUGGUUGAGCUCACAGAGGAAUUCACCACUCGCACAUCUAAUUGUUUUUCAUCUUUCUUGACAUUACACAACAAUAUUAAUAACAGAACUAGAAAGAUAAUGCACAUACCACCACAAAAAAAGCUCCACAGAAACCAAUAAACUUUACAAUCUCAUAUCAUUAAGAUAGAAACAAGGAGCAUAGCCCCAAAACUCCAAAAAUUGGCACAAUGGUCAUAUAAGGUGGCACCUUUCUAAUUUCAAACUAACUUAAAUUCUUAUCCAAGUCCUAAAAACAAAAAUUCAAAGGACUUCUCUUUUUCCUAAAUCGAAAAGAAAGUAGUUCUUAAAGGCAAGUCAGAAUAUCAAUAUGCCUCGAUGUUUAAGCUCAUAGAGGAAUUCACCCCUCGCACAUCUAAUUGUUUCCAAUCAUUCUUGCCAUACAAAAACAAAUAUACUUUAAAAAGAACCUGUUUGCAAUAUAAUCUAUACACUGCAUCAACAAGAGACAUUCCAAGUAUAUGUGUUUCCAUAACACAAAAGAUACACAACACUUCAAAAUUCCAAAACAACUCAACUAGAACAUUCCAAUUUAGCCACAGUGACAAACAUAUGCAACCAAACAAAUGGUAAAAACUAAAUUGAGACAACAAACUUCAAAAGAAUUCCUAUAUUUAAAAUCGAAAGUACUUCAUAAAGGCAAGUCAGAAUAUCAAUAAGCCUCGAUGAUUGAGCUCAUAGAGGAAUUCAACUCUCACACAUCUAAUUUUGUUUUCAUCACUCUUGCCAUAAGAACAAGGAAAUAUAAUAAACAAAAAUCACAAAAUAAUGUACACCCCACCUCAACUAGAGCCAUUCAAAACAUCUUUUGGUUCUAUAUCCCCAAUUGGGAAAGACAAAACCAAAAAAAAAGGAUAUGACUCCUGAAAUAAGGCGAGGCAAAAGGAGACUCACUAAAGGAAAACCCUAAAGAGAAAACUCCAGCAUAUAACACACCUUUCAUAUAUACAAUUGUACAUACAAAAGAGUGUGCAUAUAUACAAUUAAUAUAGCGCAGCUAUGACUCAAAACGCUUCCAUGGAGCAUAAUGGAAGGCGAUCUUAAGGGCGGCGCAAAAUGAAACAAAUUAAUCCAUACACAACACACUUUGUUAUAUAGCUCCAAUCGAUCAAAAUGUUGCAACAUAUUCCAAAAAUCACAUCUUUAAGAGAAAUUAAUGCAUACCCAAUAGCAUUUUGAUCAAUCCACGCAUCAUACACACUUCACAUACAAAAAAAACAAUUUUUAAGAAAAACCACUACACACCCAACUGCAUUUUGGACAACCAAAGCAACAUAAAAGCAAAACCCCUAAAAUUCAUGUAAAAAUUUUCGGUUUAUAACAUAAUUUUGAGUUUACCAGUCACGAUAAUCAACUGCAACAGAGAAACACAGCUGACUAAGUUGAAAAUGGCAAAUAAUUAUAGGGUAUUAUAACUUCCACUGUUAGCAAACUAAAUUGCAUAAGAGGUUUCAGUUAUUAACCCAUUAAAACAUGAAAUCAAAAAGAGGAAAAACACCAUACACGAAGAAAUUCAAUACGAUAAGCAAUGAAGAAGAAACUCACAAAGAUUCGGCUACAUUGGGGAUUGAUCCCCA